GGUGAGGCCCGAGCGAAGAAAAGUGGAAAAGAGUGUUAUUCGUCAAAAAACCCACACAACGACGGUCAUUUUUUUGCCGUGCUAUUGUAAAAUUGUCUUUUAUCUGUGUUUUGUGUUCCGGGGGACCCCGACUCCAGAAUGUGAAAGUUUCCCGCGUGAAGCCGUGGAGCUCGAGAUCCUGUUUACUGUGGACUAGCUGUGUGUGACGCCCUGUUGUUUUUGUUUCCAUUACAAAAAAAAAGCUCCACCGUCUCGCCGAGUGCGAGCAAGAGUCAUGAGUACUUGUCAACUCGACUCCUCAACUGGAGAUAACUUUCUAGCACCUCACCAUGGGGAAGGAUGUAUUCAUAUGCCUUCACCAGCACCUGCAUUAAACAUGCAGAGAGUUACACAAUUUCUUACCACCUUGGGGCACCAUUCAGGGUGCCUUUUCAUCUGACUAAAUUUAUAAUGAACAGGGACAUUGCGGUUGUCCCAAGUGGAUGGUAUGAUGAUAGGAUGGUUUUCUGGCCC